AAAUAUUGUAUUGAAGAAAAUACCCUUUAAUUGAAUGUGAAUUUGAUUAGGAGUUUUGCCCCCAAUACAUGCGGCUUUUCUUGAUUUCUACAUCAUCUCACAACCUUAAAUGCUUACUCCUGUUACGCGAUUAUUUUUAACAUAACAUAAAGAGACGAUUUUUACCAAACAUGAACUUCCUAUUAGAGCAAGAAAGUUUGAAAGUAGUUAGUAUGAAGUUUAUUUUGAGGUAAGUUGGUCAAUUGACC
rnacentral:lncRNA from 1 species